rnacentral:rRNA from 1 species
UACGGAGGUCUCAAGCGUUGUUCGGAAUUACUGGGCGUAAAGGGUGCGCAGGCGGCGCGGGGAGUCAAAUGUGUAAUCCAGGGGCUCAACCCCUGAACUGCGCUUGAUACUUCCGCGCUCGAGCUUUGGAGAGGAGUCUGGAAUUCUCGGUGUAGCAGUGAAAUGCGUGGAUAUCGAGAAGAACACUUAGGGCGUAGGCAAGACUCUGGACAAAUGCUGACGCUCAUGCACGAAGGCUAGGGUAGCGAACGGG